AUGUAGACUAGACUGGGAAUUUAGCCCUAUUCCUGUAAUCGCAAACGGGCUUUACGGCGAAGUCGAAGCCUAAGGAGAGGUAUAAAGUUUGGUUAUUGGUCUUGGUUUGGACUGUGAAGCUUUGUCCUGUAGGGUCAAUGUUUUUGAGAACCAGGUCAGAUUAGGAAUAAAGCAGCCUUAAUCUUUUAUGUUGGCGCUUAUAGGGUUGCAGAGCCAAGAAAGAAUCAAGGUAGCUGGUAGCUGGAUUUUAUAUCCAUCUUUGGGCGCGUCUACAC
rnacentral:SRP_RNA from 1 species